rnacentral:rRNA from 1 species
AUUGAACGCUAGCGGCAGGCCUAACACAUGCAAGUCGAGCGAGCGGCGGAAGGGGGAGUAAUGUAUGGGGACUGCCCGCUAGAGGGGGAUAACUACUGGAAACGGUAGCUAAUACCGCAUACUAUCGGAUAACCCAUCGGGGAUUAGCUAUGUGGUGAGGUAAUGGAUCACAAAGGCGACGAUCCCUAGCUGUUCUGAGGGGAUGAUCAGCCAAACGGGGAAUGAGACACGGCCCAGAAGCCUACGGAGGCAGCAGUGGGGAAUAUUGAACAAUGGGCGCAAGCCUGAUGCAGCCAUGCCGCGUGUAUGAAGAAGGCCUUAGGGUUGUAAAGUACUUGCAGCGGGGAGGCGUUACCCGCAGAAGAAGCACCGGCUAACUCCGUGCCAGCCGCCGCGGUAAUUC